rnacentral:rRNA from 1 species
AAGGUCUUGGAAUAAGGGGUGGGUAAGGACGGUGCCAGCCGCCGCGGUAAUACCGGCGCCUCAAGUGGUAGUCGCUUUUAUUGGGCCUAAAACGUCCGUAGCCGGUCUGGUACAUUCGUGGGUAAAUCAACCCGCUCAACGGGUUGAAUUCUGCGAGCACGGCCAGACUUGGGACCGGGAGAGGUGUGGGGUACUCUCAGGGUAGGGGUAAAAUCCUGUCAUCCUGAGAGGACCACCUGUUGCGAAGGCGCCACACUAGAACGGAUCCGACGGUCAGGGACGAAACCUAGGGGCACGAACCGGAUUAGAUACCCGGGUAGUCCUAGGUGUAAACGCUGUGGACUUGAUGUUGGGGGCGCUCCGAGCGCUCUCAGUGUCGAAGCGAAGGUGAUAAGUCCACUGCCUGGGGAGUACGGUCGCAAGGCUGAAACUCA